GACGAACGCUGGCGGCGUGCCUAAUACAUGCAAGUCGAGCGAGCUUGCCUAGAUGAAUUUGGUGCUUGCACCAAAUGAAACUAGAUACAAGCGAGCGGCGGACGGGUGAGUAACACGUGGGUAACCUGCCCAAGAGACUGGGAUAACACCUGGAAACAGAUGCUAAUACCGGAUAAGAAAGCAGAUCGCAUGAUCAGCUUUUAAAAGGCGGCGUAAGCUGUCGCUAUGGGAUGGCCCCGCGGUGCAUUAGCUAGUUGGUAAGGUAAAGGCUUACCAAGGCGAUGAUGCAUAGCCGAGUUGAGAGACUGAUCGGCCACAUUGGGACUGAGACACGGCCCAUACUCCUACGGGAGGCAGCAGUAGGGAAUCUUCCACAAUGGGCGCAAGCCUGAUGGAGCAACACCGCGUGAGUGAAGAAGGGUUUCGGCUCGUAAAGCUCUGUUGUUAAAGAAGAACACGUAUGAGAGUAACUGUUCAUACGUUGACGGUAUUUAACCAGAAAGUCACGGCUAACUACGUGCCAGCAGCCGCGGUAAUACGUAGGUGGCAAGCGUUAUCCGGAUUUAUUGGGCGUAAAGAGAGUGCAGGCGGUUUUCUAAGUCUGAUGUGAAAGCCUUCGGCUUAACCGGAGAAGUGCAUCGGAAACUGGAUAACUUGAGUGCAGAAGAGGGUAGUGGAACUCCAUGUGUAGCGGUGGAAUGCGUAGAUAUAUGGAAGAACACCAGUGGCGAAGGCGGCUCUCUGGUCUGCAACUGACGCUGAGGCUCGAAAGCAUGGGUAGCGAACAGG
rnacentral:rRNA from 1 species